rnacentral:tRNA from 1 species
UGCCAGGUCGUCUAAUGGUAGGACAAUAGCCUCUGAAGUUAUUUAUCUUGGUUCGAGUCCAAGCCUGGCAA